AUUGAACGCUGGCGGCAGGCCUAACACAUGCAAGUCGAGCGGAUGAUUGGAGUUUGCUCCAUGAUUCAGCGGCGGACGGGUGAGUAAUGCCUAGGAAUCUGCCUGGUAGAGGGGGACAACGUUUCGAAAGGAACGCUAAUACCGCAUACGUCCUACGGGAGAAAGCAGGGGACCUUCGGGCCUUGCGCUAUCAGAUGAGCCUAGGUCGGAUUAGCUAGUAGGUGAGGUAAUGGCUCACCUAGGCGACGAUCCGUAACUGGUCUGAGAGGAUGAUCAGUCACACUGGAACUGAGACACGGUCCAGACUCCUACGGGAGGCAGCAGUGGGGAAUAUUGGACAAUGGGCGAAAGCCUGAUCCAGCCAUGCCGCGUGUGUGAAGAAGGUCUUCGGAUUGUAAAGCACUUUAAGUUGGGAGGAAGGGCAGUAAGUUAAUACCUUGCUGUUUUGACGUUACCAACAGAAUAAGCACCGGCUAACUUCGUGCCAGCAGCCGCCGUAAAAC
rnacentral:rRNA from 1 species